GUGUAUUUGUGUAUAGAUUCUGAAGAUGCAGCAGAAAGCUCUUCAUUUCCCGUGCUGCUGAUUGUUGGUCUGGUUUGUGGAGUUUUACUGAUUAUUCUCCUGCUGCUGUUUCUGUUUCGCUACAGAAAGUCAAAAGUUUCAAGCCUCAUGAGGUCUCAGAGCACCAAUCAGAGCCCAGCUACAGACCACAUGACCAACCAGGUUGAAACUCAAGACAGAACUUACGCUUCUCUUCUCCAUGGUGAUUCUUGUGUCUAUGAAACAAUCAGAGGCUCUGAAGAACCUGAACAUGGGAGGAAUAAAGAACCAGAGGAGAGCGAUUACGCAAAUGUGACGAUGGGAACAGCUGCAGAUCAAUAAAAACAUCUGCAUGGACAGAACCACUGGAAUGGAUGACAACAUGAAAAAAACACAUCCUUGUCUU